rnacentral:rRNA from 1 species
CCGUACCAAGGCGACGACGGGUAGCCGGCCUGAGAGGGCGACCGGCCACAUUGGGACUGAGAUACGGCCAGACUCCUACGGGAGGCAGCAGUGGGAAUAUUGCACAAUGGGCGCAAGCCUGAUGCAGCAACGCCGCGUGCGGGAUGACGGCCUUCGGGUUGUAAAACCGCUUUCAGCAGGGACGAAGCGCAAGUGACGGUACCUGCAGAAGAAGCACCGGCUAACUACGUGCCAGCAGCCGCGGUGAUACGUAGGGUGCGAGCGUUGUCCGGAUUUAUUGGGCGUAAAAGAGCUUGUAGGCGGUUAGUCGCGUCGUAAGUGCAAACUCAGGGCUUAACCCUGAGCCUGCUUUCGAUACGGGCUGACUAGAGGAAGGUAGGGGAGAAUGGAAUUCCCGGUGGAGCGGUGGAAUGCGCAGAUAUCGGGAGGAACACCAGUGGCGAAGGCGGUUCUCUGGACCUUUCCUGACGCUGAGAAGCGAAAGCGUGGGGC